GACGAACGCUGGCGGCGUGCUUAACACAUGCAAGUCGAACGAAGAGCGAUGGAAGCUUGCUUCUAUCAAUCUUAGUGGCGAACGGGUGAGUAACGCGUAAUCAACCUGCCCUUCAGAGGGGGACAACAGUUGGAAACGACUGCUAAUACCGCAUACGAUCUAAUCUCGGCAUCGAGGAUAGAUGAAAGGUGGCCUCUACAUGUAAGCUAUCACUGAAGGAGGGGAUUGCGUCUGAUUAGUUAGUUGGAGGGGUAACGGCCCACCAAGGCGAUGAUCAGUAGCCCGACUGAGAGGAUGAACGGCCACACUGGGACGGAGACACGGCCCAGACGGCCACGGGAGGCAGCAGUGGGGAAUCUUCCGCAAGGGACGAAAGUCUGACGGAGCAACGCCGCGGGAGUGAUGACGGCCGUCGGGUUGGAAAGCUCUGUUAAUCGGGACGAAAGGCCUCCUUGCGAAUAGGGAGAAGGAUUGACGGUACCGGAAUAGAAAGCCACGGCUAACUACGUG
rnacentral:rRNA from 1 species